AGGAUGAACGCUGGCGGCGUGCUUAACACAUGCAAGUCACGGGGGCCCAGCAAUGGGCAACCGGCGAACGGGUGCGUAACACGUGAGCAACCUACCGAAUUGUGGGGGAUAGCCGGCCCAACGGCCGGGUAAUACCGCAUACGCUCGAGACGAGGCAUUUCGACUCGAGGAAACCUCCGGGGCAAUUUGAGGGGCUCGCGGCCUAUCAGCUAGUUGGUGAGGUAACGGCUCACCAAGGCGACGACGGGGUAGCUGGUCUGAGAGGAUGGCCAGCCACAUUGGGACUGAGAUACGGCCCAGACUCCUACGGGAGCAGCAGGUGGGGAAUAUUGGACAAGUGGGCGCAAGCCUGACUCCAGCAAU
rnacentral:rRNA from 1 species